rnacentral:rRNA from 1 species
AUUGAACGCUGGCGGCAGGCCUAACACAUGCAAGUCGAACGGUAACAGGAAGCAGCUUGCUGCUUCGCUGACGAGUGGCGGACGGGUGAGUAAUGUCUGGGAAGCUGCCUGAUGGAGGGGGAUAACUACUGGAAACGGUAGCUAAUACCGCAUAAUGUCGCAAGACCAAAGAGGGGGACCUUCGGGCCUCUUGCCAUCGGAUGUGCCCAGAUGGGAUUAGCUUGUUGGUGGGGUAACGGCUCACCAAGGCGACGAUCCCUAGCUGGUCUGAGAGGAUGACAAGCCACACUGGAACUGAGACACGGUCCAGACUCCUACGGGAGGCAGCAGUGGGGAAUAUUGCACAAUGGGCGCAAGCCUGAUGCAGCCAUGCCGCGUGUAUGAAGAAGGCCUUCGGGUUGUAAAGUACUUUCAGCGGGGAGGAAGGGAGUAAAGUUAAUACCUUUGCUCAUUGACGUUACCCGCAGAAGAAGCACCGGCUAACUCCGUG